rnacentral:rRNA from 1 species
UACGUAGGUUGCAAGCAUUAAUCGGAAUUAUUGGGCGUAAAGGGCGCGUAGGCGGAGAUGUAAGUCAGAUGUGAAAUCCCGGGGCUCAACCCCGGAACAGCAUUUGAAACUGCGUUUCUAGAGGGUAGGCGGAGAAAACGGAAUUCCACAAGUAGCGGUGAAAUGCGUAGAUAUGUGGAAGAACACAAGUGGCGAAGGCGGUUUUCUAGCUUAUACCUGACGCUAAAGCGCGAAAGCAAGGGGAGCAAACAGG